AGAGAGAGUGUGAGAGAGAGAGAGAGAGUGUGUGUGAGAGAGAGAGAGAGAGAGAGUGUGUGUGUGUGUAGAUAUAUAUAUAAAUAUAUAUAUAAAUAAAUGGAGGCGGGCAGGGGUCUGCAAAGAGAGGGUUCAUGAGGGAGGAAAGAGCCUCUUCAGGAGAAGGAGGCUGCCGUUGUGGGAAUUAGAUGAGGAAAUAAGAUGAACAAGGAAAUGGUGUUCAUGCCAUAAAUGUCUGCCUACAGGCAGUAAUGGGCUGGAUGAGGGAUAACAAAUUGAAGCUGGAUCCAAGCAAGACAGAGAUAAUUAAUCCUCUUAGCCGGACCAGAUGCGUGGGGAUGUGUGGCGGAACACUCGCACACGCGUUAGGAGAUGACUGGGCGUCGUGGGGAUGCGUGGCGGAACUCUUGCAAGAGUUCCGCACACACAUUAGGAGACGGCUGGGCGGUGUGCUCCCUUCCCCCCAGUGCCCCUCCCCUCCAGUGCCCCCGUGAGACUUCUUAAACUUAUCCUAUAUCCUAUGAGAAAUAUUAUUACGAACACAAUAUUGAAAAAGCAGAACAGCUUGCAAGGGAUUGUACAAGAUCAGAAACCUAUGAUUACAAGUAGCGUAUUUUUAGGUCUCAUCUGUUCACAUGCAUGACUUCUUCAUCUCCUAUACUCAGAAGUUAUGAUUGAAAUAACUGAUUUACAUUAAAGUCUUACCUU